GAUGGAGGCUACUGAUUCUGCCCCCGUGACACUUGGUGGUGACGUGUGAGCUGAUUCACCUGGAAAAUAACUUUUACAUUAAAUAUUUUGUUUUUGCUAUGAAAAGUAAAUUAACUAAUAACCUGCAUUAUUGCAGGACACUCAGCAAAAUAUAGACUCUACACCAUGAGGCAGGCACACGUUAAUAUUCUAUAAGAGCACAUAAGCAUGAGGAUGUCCUCACACACCUGUAACCUAUCAGCUCAUCUGGCAGAAUAGAGAGAGAAGAGACAACACCACAUCUCCUGUUCCUGGAAAGCCUUCAGCCAUCCUUCGAUGACUGAGAACCUCCAUCAGCUCUGUCUCCUGUCUGCCUACAAUUAUUAUAAUAAAUAUUGUGUUUGACAA